rnacentral:ncRNA from 1 species
GAACGCCGUGUGAGUGUGAAAGCCUCAUGCACGGUGUGGAGUGGGGGAAAAGCUGGAGAUAAUAUCAAAUGCUUACCUAUCACUAU